AAGUCGUAACAAGGUCUCCGUUGGUGAACCAGCGGAGGGAUCAUUACAGAGUUGAAAAACUCCCUAAACCACUGUGAACAUACCUUUACGUAGUUGCUUCGGCGGACGGCCCUCUCGGGGGCCUGUAGCCCCUAGCGGGGUGUCCGCCGGAGGACCAACCACAAACUCUUGCAAUUAGUGGCAUCUCUGAGUAUUUUAUAAUAAGUUAAAACUUUCAACAACGGAUCUCUUGGUUCUG
rnacentral:misc_RNA from 1 species